GACGUAGGGCGCGAGCGUUGUCCGGAUUUAUUGGGCGUAAAGAGCGUGUAGGCGGCUUUACAGGUCCGUUGUGAAAACUCGAGGCUCAACCUCGAGACGCCGGUGGAAACCGUAAAGCUAGAGUCCGGAAGAGGAGAGUGGAAUUCCUGGUGUAGCGGUGAAAUGCGCAGAUAUCAGGAGGAACACCCGUGGCGAAAGCGGCUCUCUGGGACGGUACUGACGCUGAGACGCGAAAGCGUGGGGAGCAAACAGG
rnacentral:rRNA from 1 species